rnacentral:rRNA from 1 species
AGAGUUUGAUCCUGGCUCAGGAUGAACGCUAGCGGCAGGCUUAAUACAUGCAAGUCGAACGGGAUUCGGAGUAGCAAUACUUUGAUGAGAGUGGCGCACGGGUGCGUAACGCGUAUGCAACCUACCUUUAACAGGGGAAUAGCCCCGAGAAAUCGGGAUUAAUACUCCGUAACAUUGCGGUGUGGCAUCACACUGCAAUUAAAGAUUUAUCGGUUAAAGAUGGGCAUGCGUGACAUUAGCUUGUUGGUGAGGUAACGGCUCACCAAGGCAACGAUGUCUAGGGGUCCUGAGAGGGUUAUCCCCCACACUGGUACUGAGACACGGACCAGACUCCUACGGGAGGCAGCAGUAAGGAAUAUUGGUCAAUGGGCGCAAGCCUGAACCAGCCAUGCCGCGUGCAGGAAGACGGCCCUAUGGGUUGUAAACUGCUUUUAUCAGGGAAUAAACCCCCGCUCGUGAGCGGGGCUGAAGGUACCUGAAGAAUAAGCAUCGGCUAACUCCGUGCCAGCAGCCGCGGUAAUACGGAGGAUGCAAGCGUUAUCCGGAUUCAUUGGGUUUAAAGGGUGCGCAGGCGGAUUGGUAAGUCAGGGGUGAAAUCCCACAGCUCAACUGUGGAACUGCCUUUGAUACUGUCAGUCUAGAGUAUAGUUGAAGUUGGCGGAAUGUGUCAUGUAGCGGUGAAAUGCUUAGAUAUGACACAGAACACCGAUCGCGAAGGCAGCUAGCUAAGCUAUAACUGACGCUCAUGCACGAAAGCGUGGGGAUCAAACAGGAUUAGAUACCCUGAUAGUCCACGCUGUAAACGAUGAUUACUCGAUGUUGGCGAUACACAGUCAGCGUCUGAGCGAAAGCAAUAAGUAAUCCACCUGGGGAGUACGAUCGCAAGAUGGAAACUCAAAGGAAUUGACG